rnacentral:tRNA from 1 species
GGGGUUGUGGCUCAGUGGCAGAGUGCUUGUCUAGCACAUGUGAAGCACUGGGUUCGAUUCCCAGAACCACA